rnacentral:rRNA from 1 species
UCAGGAUGAACGCUGGCGGCGUGCUUAACACAUGCAAGUCGAGCGAAGCGGAUCUUCGGAAGUUUUCGGAUGGAAGAGGAUUUGACUUAGCGGCGGACGGGUGAGUAACGCGUGGGUAACCUGCCUUACACUGGGGGAUAACAGUUAGAAAUGACUGCUAAUACCGCAUAAGCGCACAGGGCCGCAUGGCCCGGUGUGAAAAACUCCGGUGGUGUAAGAUGGACCCGCGUCUGAUUAGGUAGUUGGCGGGGUAACGGCCCACCAAGCCGACGAUCAGUAGCCGACCUGAGAGGGCGACCGGCCACAUUGGGACUGAGACACGGCCCAAACUCCUACGGGAGGCAGCAGUGGGGAAUAUUGGACAAUGGGCGAAAGCCUGAUCCAGCGACGCCGCGUGAGCGAAGAAGUAUUUCGGUAUGUAAAGCUCUAUCAGCAGGGAAGAAAAUGACGGUACCUGACUAAGAAGCCCCGGCUAACUACGUGCCAGCAGCCGCGGUAAUACGUA